rnacentral:rRNA from 1 species
GGAAUAUUGGACAAUGGGCGAAAGCCUGAUCCAGCAACGCCGCGUGGAGGAUGAAGGCCUUCGGGUUGUAAACUCCUGUCAGGUGGGGCGAAGGAAGCUUGGUCAAUAGCCAGGCUUCUUGACGGUACCAUCAGAGGAAGCCCCGGCUAACCACGGGCCAGCAGCCGCGGCAACACGGAGGGGGCAAGCGUUAUUCGGAAUUAUUGGGCGUAAAGGGCGCGUAGGCGGCUUGACAAGUCAGGGGUGAAAUCCCUCGGCUCAACCGGGGAACUGCCUCUGAAACUAUCAAGCUUGAGUCCGGGAGAGGGUAGUGGAAUUCCCAGUGUAGCGGUGAUAUGCGUAGAUAUUGGGAGGAACACCAGUGGCGAAAGCGGCUACCUGGACCGGUACUGACGCUGAGGCGCGAAAGCGUGGGGAGCAA